rnacentral:rRNA from 1 species
GACGAACGCUGGCGGCGUGCUUAACACAUGCAAGUCGAGCGGAGCUGCGAACGGGUGAGUAACGCGUGAGUAACUGCCCCCCUCUCUGGGAUAACAGUUGGAAACGGCUGCUAAUACCGGAUAGUGGGGGAUGACUCGCGGCCUAUCAGCUUGUUGGUGGGGUAGUGGACUACCCAGGCGACGACGGGUAGCCGGCCUGGGAGGGCGACCGGACACAAUGGGCUGAGAUACGGCCCAAACGCCUACGGGAGGCAGCGGGGGGGAAUAUUGCACAGUGAGGGAAACCCUGAUGCAGCAACGCCGCGUGCGGGAUGACGGCCUACGGGUUGUAAACCGCUUUCAGCUAUGACGCGGUAGUGGCAGAAGAAGCACCGGCUAACUACGUGCCAGCAGCCGCGGUAAUAC